CAAGACUAAAGAGGGGGACCUUCGGGCCUCUUGCCAUCGGAUGUGCCCAGAUGGGAUUAGCUUGUUGGUGGGGUAACGGCUCACCAAGGCGACGAUCCCUAGCUGGUCUGAGAGGAUGACCAGCCACACUGGAACUGAGACACGGUCCAGACUCCUACGGGAGGCAGCAGUGGGGAAUAUUGCACAAUGGGCGCAAGCCUGAUGCAGCCAUGCCGCGUGUAUGAAGAAGGCCUUCGGGUUGUAAAGUACUUUCAGCGGGGAGGAAGGGAGUAAAGUUAAUACCUUUGCUCAUUGACGUUACCCGCAGAAGAAGCACCGGCUAACUCCGUGCCAGCAGCCGCGGUAAUACGGAGGGUGCAAGCGUUAAUCGGAAUUACUGGGCGUAAAGCGCACGCAGGCGGUUUGUUAAGUCAGAUGUGAAAUCCCCGGGCUCAACCUGGGAACUGCAUCUGAUACUGGCAAGCUUGAGUCUCGUAGAGGGGGGUAGAAUUCCAGGUGUAGCGGUGAAAUGCGUAGAGAUCUGGAGGAAUACCGGUGGCGAAGGCGGCCCCCUGGACGAAGACUGACGCUCAGGUGCGAAAGCGUGGGGAGCAAACAGGAUUAGAUACCCUGGUAGUCCACGCCGUAAACGAUGUCGACUUGGAGGUUGUGCCCUUGAGGCGUGGCUUCCGGAGCUAACGCGUUAAGUCGACCGCCUGGGGAGUACGGCCGCAAGGUUAAAACUCAAAUGAAUUGACGGGGGCCCGCACAAGCGGUGGAGCAUGUGGUUUAAUUCGAUGCAACGCGAAGAACCUUACCUGGUCUUGACAUCCACGGAAGUUUUCAGAGAUGAGAAUGUGCCUUCGGGAACCGUGAGACAGGUGCUGCAUGGCUGUCGUCAGCUCGUGUUGUGAAAUGUUGGGUUAAGUCCCGCAACGAGCGCAACCCUUAUCCUUUGUUGCCAGCGGUCCGGCCGGGAACUCAAAGGAGACUGCCAGUGAUAAACUGGAGGAAGGUGGGGAUGACGUCAAGUCAUCAUGGCCCUUACGACCAGGGCUACACACGUGCUACAAUGGCGCAUACAAAGAGAAGCGACCUCGCGAGAGCAAGCGGACCUCAUAAAGUGCGUCGUAGUCCGGAUUGGAGUCUGCAACUCGACUCCAUGAAGUCGGAAUCGCUAGUAAUCGUGGAUCAGAAUGCCACGGUGAAUACGUUCCCGGGCCUUGUACACACCGCCCGUCACACCAUGGGAGUGGGUUGCAAAAGAAGUAGGUAGCUUAACCUUCGGGAGGGCGCUUACCACUUUGUGAUUCAUGACUGGGGUGAAGUCGUAACAAGGUAACCGUAGGGGAACCUGCGGUUGGAUCACCU
rnacentral:rRNA from 1 species